rnacentral:rRNA from 1 species
ACGGGCGGUGUGUACAAGGNCCGGGAACGUAUUCACCGCUACCUGCUGAUUAGCGAUUACUAGCGAUUCCAACUUCAUGCACCCGAGUUGCAGAGUGCAAUCUGAACUGAGACGGCUUUUUGGGAUUAGCUUCUCCUUGCGAAGUAGCUGCCCACUGUCACCGCCAUUGUAGCACGUGUGUAGCCCAACCCGUAAGGGCCAUGAGGACUUGACGUCAUCCCCACCUUCCUCCGGCUUAUCACCGGCAGUCCCUUUAGAGUGCCCAACUAAAUGAUGGCAACUAAAGGCGAGGGUUGCGCUCGUUGCGGGACUUAACCCAACAUCUCACGACACGAGCUGACGACAGC